rnacentral:rRNA from 1 species
UACGUAGGGUCCGAGCGUUGUCCGGAAUUACUGGGCGUAAAGAGCUCGUAGGUGGUUUGUCGCGUUGUUCGUGAAAACCCGCAGCUCAACUGUGGGCUUGCAGCUGAUACGGGCGGGCUGGGAUUCGGUAGGGGAGACGUGGAAUUCCUGGUGUAGCGGUGAAAUGCGUAGAUAUCUGGAGGAAUACCGGUGGCGAAGGCGGCAUCCUGGACCGGCAGUUGACGCUGAUGAGCGAAAGCUAGGGGAGCAAACGGGG